rnacentral:lncRNA from 1 species
CAGCCUGAGGGGAGACACAGCCCUGUCCUCAGGGAGCCCCAGUCUUCAGGGAGACACAGCCCCAUCCUCAGGGAGCCCCAAUCUGCAGGGAGACACAGCCCCACCCUCAGGGACCCCAGCCUAAGGAGAGACACAGCCCUGUCCUUGGGGAACCCCAGUCUGAGGGGAGACACAGCCCCAUCCUCAGGGAGCCCCAGCCUGAGUGGAGGACACAACACUGACUAAGGGAGCUGCAGUCUCAGGGAGUAGGUAAAUAAAUGUACCACAGAUAUUAGCCUACUUCUUCACUUUGAGAGCAGAGGUGUAGGAGUGUGUGUGUGGGGGGCAGGGCUGCAGAAUCUGUAUUACAGAGGGGUGAGUGAGAACAUGUGGGAAAAGCUGGCAUCCCAGAGCUUUCCGAGUUCCCAGGAGCAUUCUACCCCUUCUCUGUGCUCAGCCCAACUCUGACCAAUAGGAGGGUCACUGGAAUCCAGUGUCCCCUUAAGGCAAGGGAGAGUCAGAGCUGAGAAGCAGGCGGCUGGGAGAGGCCCGCUGAGUGGCUCUCUGGAGUCUGUCAGGUGAGUGACCACAGGAGAUAAGCUGUCUAUGAUAAGGGGCAUUCAGGCCACCUCAUUUUAGCUUGUCCGUGACAAGCUGAGCCUCGCACGGCCCAGAGCAUGUGUGUGGUGAGGAGGUGGGGGAGUGGGCACAAUUCAGGAGCCGUCUCCAGAGGUCAGCACUAAUGGGACAAGAAGUCUUAAGAUGCAGCCCCCAGCUCCUGUUUGUCCCUAUCCAGGUGGAGACAUUUCCAUUCCCAGACAUAGGAGCUUCUCCCAGGGAACCUCAUGAAGACAGAGAUGGUGGGGACUGAAUGGGGGGGUGUCUCGAUUCCCAGCAGCUUCUUGGCUCCUCUGCUGUCACAUAAUCAGUGAGUGAUGACUGGCAGCAGGCACUUCCCUGGGUGCUCUUGACAUUCCCGUGACCUACAGGCAAGGGAGAGGGUUCCAGAGAAGGAGGAGUGGGAGCCUCAGGGUGGCAGAGUGGCUGUGGCCUUUCCACAAAAGGAGGAUCUCUUCCGGGAACCAGAUGAUGAGCUUAGCUUGUCUGCAGGCAUUAAAACACCAACACUGGGAACAUCCUCAUGGUAUGUAAAGGGAAACUGAGGCACAAGGCAGGGAAGGGACUUGCCUAGGGUCACACAACAUUGAGAGUUCCCAAUUCUCUUCUCUACUCCAGGCUGUACGAGAUCUGCAAAAGUCAAACUUCCACUCUGCCUCCAUACUUGUAUGUGUGCGUGGGUGCUUGUGGGGCAUGCAGAUUAGCUCUCACGAAAGCCACGUUCAGCCUUUA